AGUAGAAAAGGAUUUGAAGCUGGGCUGGGCUUUGAAAUUGAAGUGUGGUAACAUGCUUAUAUUUGUGUUUAGCGGCAACCCUGGCUUCUGGUGUAAAAUGGAUGAGGAGAGGAGCUUCAGGAGACCAGCCAGGAAGGUGCAAGUCUACAGAUUCAGUUGUUUGAGGGUAACUUAUCACUGUAACCCCCAAAGUGUCUUAAACGGAGGAGCUGCACGUGUUCCGUGGGCCACCAUGAAGAGUUCACAUGAAUUGUGGCUUCUCCAAUCUUUCCUCCAUUGAUUAUAUUUUUGCCAUAAGAUAUUGGGUAAUAUCCUAUCCUGCAGGACUUGGAUUCAAAAUGAUGAUCUCCAGUUUCAUCCAUGUUGCAGCAAAUGGCAUUAUUUUAUUCUUUUUU